rnacentral:lncRNA from 10 species
CCGACCGGACUUUCACUUCUGGCCAGCCCUUUCCCCACCUGGGCGCGGGAGCGGGUGCCAGUCUUUAAACAACCUCUCGAUGGGUCCCACGAAGAUGUUUCCAGACCCUUGGAAUGCCAAGUUCAAGUUUAGCUAUGUCUCGCGGAGAGGCCGGUGGAAGAAGCAACGAGAAUGAAGCACCCCAGUUCUCUGCUGAGCACAUGGGCAUCUGCAAUAAAGAUUUAAUUUCCCAGCUUCUCCUGAAGCUCGGUAUGGCCACAACACUAAAUUCUGCCCGAGGAGAUUAAGCAAAAUAGUAUGGGACUUCCAAGAAAUGUUUUUAAAGUCAGGGGCAGGCCUUUCUUCAUGCCUUCUUCCUCUUUGCUGGCUGGAACGCAAAGACCAUGGCAGGAGGCCAAGCAGCCAUCCUGGAAGGUGAAAGCCUCAUACUAAGGACGUCAGACAGCGAAAUAAGAGCCUGGGUCCUUGACCCUGUAGACAUCUCCCUCCCCAUCCUGGUCUGUCUGCCUUGACUCCUUUCAUAUGAGAGAAAUAAACUUUUAACUUGCGUAAACCAGAAAGAAAAUUUUACAAUUUUUUUUCACACACAGUUGAAUGGAAGCCAGACUCAUACACUAAUCUCAUCUCCACUUUUAGAGAUGAGGGGAACAGCUUGCCCACAGUGACAGCCAGUGUGAGCUGGGUUUCUGUUGCCCAACUCAUUGGGGUUCCAACCCUCACCUAGACUGCCCUAUGAAAUACCUAGAACUUGGUCAGGAGAAAAGAUAAGAGGGGAAAAUGUCAGCAAAAGCCAAAGACUAAGGGUAGCAGGGGCAGAAGUGAGAGUGGGAAGUGAAAGGUGAUAUAAUUUCCCUAUUCCACUGAGCAGGAAGAGGCUGCCUUUGCAUCCCUCUGUGUCGGGAGACAGUCUGGGGACAGUCAGCAGGCACCUUGCUGCAGGAGAGCCCCUGCAAGAGCAGCCUUUGUGGAGC